CUUGGUCAUUUAGAGGAAGUAAAAGUCGUAACAAGGUUUCCGUAGGUGAACCUGCGGAAGGAUCAUUAAAGAGUAAGGGUGCUCAGCGCCCGACCUCCAACCCUUUGUUGUUAAAACUACCUUGUUGCUUUGGCGGGACCGCUCGGUCUCGAGCCGCUGGGGAUUCGUCCCAGGCGAGCGCCCGCCAGAGUUAAACCAAACUCUUGUUAUUAAACCGGUCGUCUGAGUUAAAAUUUUGAAUAAAUCAAAACUUUCAACAACGGAUCUCUUGGUUCUCGCAUCGAUGAAGAACGCAGCGAAAUGCGAUAAGUAAUGUGAAUUGCAGAAUUCAGUGAAUCAUCGAAUCUUUGAACGCACAUUGCGCCCCUUGGUAUUCCGAGGGGCAUGCCUGUUCGAGCGUCAUUACACCACUCAAGCUAUGCUUGGUAUUGGGUGCCGUCCUUAGUUGGGCGCGCCUUAAAGACCUCGGCGAGGCCUCACCGGCUUUAGGCGUAGUAGAAUUUAUUCGAACGUCUGUCAAAGGAGAGGACUUCUGCCGACUGAAACCUUUUAUUUUUCUAGGUUGACCUCGGAUCAGGUAGGGAUACCCGCUGAACUUAAGCAUAUCAAUAAGCGGAGAA
rnacentral:rRNA from 1 species